GGAAGAGGCGGAAGGAGGCGACAAGUGAAGUUUUGAAUACAUCGCCAAACGAGGAAGAUAAUGUUUGCAGCUCUUAAAUAUCAUGCAGUAGACUAUUUAUAUGAGAUAGCACAGUUUUUCACAGGCACCAGAGUAGUAGCCACAGAAGGUCAAGCCGUCUGGGACUAUUGUAGGAAUGUUUGCAUGUCAGUGCUGAAUAUUGGCUGGAGCCUCC